UACGAAGGGGGCUAGCGUUGUUCGGAAUUACUGGGCGUAAAGCGUGCGCAGGCGGCUUCUCAAGUCAGGGGUGAAAGCCCAGAGCUCAACUCUGGAAUUGCCUUUGAGACUGAGUGGCUUGAGUACGAGAGAGGUGAGUGGAAUUCCCAGUGUAGAGGUGAAAUUCGUAGAUAUUGGGAAGAACACCGGUGGCGAAGGCGGCUCACUGGCUCGUAACUGACGCUGAGACGCGAAAGCGUGGGGAGCGAACAGG
rnacentral:rRNA from 1 species